rnacentral:rRNA from 1 species
GUGGGGGGGGGGCGAGGAGCGGCGGGAAUGCGUAGGGGGGAGCAGGUUUCGGUAGUUAUUGUGCGUAGAGAGCGGGUAGGGGGCCAAGCAGGUGCGCUGUGAGAGCGCGAGGCUGAACCUCGAGGGGUCGGUGGAAACCGUGGUGCUAGAGGCCGGAAGAGGAGAGGGGAAUUCCCGGUGGAGCGGUGAAAUGCGCAGAUAUCGGGAAGAACACCCGUGGCGAAGGCGGCUCUCUGGGACGGUACUGACGCUGAGACGCGAAAGCGUGGGGAGCGAACAGGAUUAGAUACCCUUGUAGUC